GAGUUUGAUCCUGGCUCAGAAUCAACGCUGGCGGCGUGCCUCAGACAUGCAAGUCGAACGAUUAAAGCUCUCUUCGGAGAGUGUAUAGAGUGGCGCACGGGUGAGUAACACGUAAGUAAUCUACCUUUGAGUGGGGAAUAACGUCCGGAAACGGACGCUAAUACCGCAUAAUGCAGCGGCAUCGCAAGAUGACAGUUGUUAAAGAUUUAUCGCUUGAAGAGGAGCUUGCGGCAGAUUAGCUAGUUGGUAAGGUAAUGGCUUACCAAGGCUACGAUCUGUAACCGGUCUAAGAGGACGGUCGGUCACACUGACACUGAAUAACGGGUCAGACUCCUACGGGAGGCAGCAGUCGGGAAUUUUGGGCAAUGGGCGAAAGCCUGACCCAGCAACGCCGCGUGAAGGAUGAAGUAUUUCGGUAUGUAAACUUCGAAAGAAUGGGAAGAAUCAAUGACGGUACCAUUUAUAAGGUCCGGCUAACUACGUGCCAGCAGCCGCGGUAAUACGUAGGGACCAAGCGUUGUUCGGAUUUACUGGGCGUAAAGGGCGCGUAGGCGGCUUGACAAGUCACUUGUGAAAUCUCCGGGCUUAACUCGGAACGGCCAAGUGAAACUGUCAUGCUAGAGUGCAGA
rnacentral:rRNA from 1 species